rnacentral:rRNA from 1 species
GGUUAAGCGACUAAGCGUACACGGUGGAUGCCCUGGCAGUCAGAGGCGAUGAAGGACGUGCUAAUCUGCGAAAAGCGCCGGCGAGGUGAUAUGAACCCUUGACCCGGCGAUGUCCGAAUGGGGAAACCCAGUGCAAUCCGUUGCACUAUCGUUAACUGAAUACAUAGGUUAACGAGGCGAACCGGGGGAACUGAAACAUCUAAGUACCCCGAGGAAAAGAAAUCAACCGAGAUUCCCCCAGUAGCGGCGAGCGAACGGGGAGCAGCCCGGAGUCUGAAUCAGCUUGUGUGUUAGUGGAACGGUCUGGAAAGUCCGACGGUACAGGGUGAUAGUCCCGUACACGAAAAUGCACAUGCUGUGAACUCGAAGAGUAGGGCGGGACACGUGGUAUCCUGUCUGAAUAUGGGGGACCAUCCUCCAAGGCUAAAUACUCCUGACUGACCGAUAGUGAACCAGUACCGUGAGGGAAAGGCGAAAAGAACCCCGGCGAGGGGAGUGAAAAAGAACCUGAAACCGUGUACGUACAAGCAGUGGGAGCCUCUUUAUGGGGUGACUGCGUACCUUUUGUAUAAUGGGUCAGCGACUUAUAUUCUGUAGCAAGGUUAACCGUAUAGGGGAGCCGAAGGGAAACCGAGUCUUAACUGGGCGUUAAGUUGCAGGGUAUAGACCCGAAACCCGGUGAUCUAGCCAUGGGCAGGUUGAAGGUUGGGUAACACUAACUGGAGGACCGAACCGACUAAUGUUGAAAAAUUAGCGGAUGACCUGUGGCUGGGGGUGAAAGGCCAAUCAAACCGGGAGAUAGCUGGUUCUCCCCGAAAGCUAUUUAGGUAGCGCCUCGUGAACUCAUCUUCGGGGGUAGAGCACUGUUUCGGCUAGGGGGCCAUCCCGGCUUACCAACCCGAUGCAAACUACGAAUACCGAAGAAUGUUAUCACGGGAGACACACGGCGGGUGCUAACGUCCGUCGUGAAGAGGGAAACAACCCAGACCGCCAGCUAAGGUCCCAAAGUCAUGGUUAAGUGGGAAACGAUGUGGGAAGGCACAGACAGCCAGGAUGUUGGCUUAGAAGCAGCCAUCAUUUAAAGAAAGCGUAAUAGCUCACUGGUCGAGUCGGCCUGCGCGGAAGAUGUAACGGGGCUAAACCAUGCACCGAAGCUGCGGCAGCGACACUAUGUGUUGUUGGGUAGGGGAGCGUUCUGUAAGCCGUUGAAGGUGUGCUGUGAGGCAUGCUGGAGGUAUCAGAAGUGCGAAUGCUGACAUAAGUAACGAUAAAGCGGGUGAAAAGCCCGCUCGCCGGAAGACCAAGGGUUCCUGUCCAACGUUAAUCGGGGCAGGGUGAGUCGACCCCUAAGGCGAGGCCGAAAGGCGUAGUCGAUGGGAAACAGGUUAAUAUUCCUGUACUUGGUGUUACUGCGAAGGGGGGACGGAGAAGGCUAUGUCAGCCGGGCGACGGUUGUCCCGGUUUAAGCAUGUAGGCGGAGGUUCCAGGUAAAUCCGGUACCUUAUUAACGCUGAGGUGUGAUGACGAGGCACUACGGUGCUGAAGUGAUAAAUGCCCUGCUUCCAGGAAAAGCCUCUAAGCAUCAGGUAACACGAAAUCGUACCCCAAACCGACACAGGUGGUCAGGUAGAGAAUACCAAGGCGCUUGAGAGAACUCGGGUGAAGGAACUAGGCAAAAUGGUGCCGUAACUUCGGGAGAAGGCACGCUGAUGUGUAGGUGAAGCCCCUGCGGGCGGAGCUGAAAUCAGUCGAAGAUACCAGCUGGCUGCAACUGUUUAUUAAAAACACAGCACUGUGCAAACACGAAAGUGGACGUAUACGGUGUGACGCCUGCCCGGUGCCGGAAGGUUAAUUGAUGGGGUUAGCGGCAACGCGAAGCUCUUGAUCGAAGCCCCGGUAAACGGCGGCCGUAACUAUAACGGUCCUAAGGUAGCGAAAUUCCUUGUCGGGUAAGUUCCGACCUGCACGAAUGGCGUAAUGAUGGCCAGGCUGUCUCCACCCGAGACUCAGUGAAAUUGAACUCGCUGUGAAGAUGCAGUGUACCCGCGGCAAGACGGAAAGACCCCGUGAACCUUUACUAUAGCUUGACACUGAACACUGGUCCUUGAUGUGUAGGAUAGGUGGGAGGCUUUGAAGCGUGGACGCCAGUCUGCGUGGAGCCAACCUUGAAAUACCACCCUUUAAUGGCUGGUGUUCUAACGUAGACCCGUAAUCCGGGUUGCGGACAGUGUCUGGUGGGUAGUUUGACUGGGGCGGUCUCCUCCCAAAGAGUAACGGAGGAGCACGAAGGUUGGCUAAUCCUGGUCGGACAUCAGGAGGUUAGUGCAAUGGCAUAAGCCAGCUUGACUGCGAGCGUGACGGCGCGAGCAGGUGCGAAAGCAGGUCAUAGUGAUCCGGUGGUUCUGAAUGGAAGGGCCAUCGCUCAACGGAUAAAAGGUACUCCGGGGAUAACAGGCUGAUACCGCCCAAGAGUUCAUAUCGACGGCGGUGUUUGGCACCUCGAUGUCGGCUCAUCACAUCCUGGGGCUGAAGUAGGUCCCAAGGGUAUGGCUGUUCGCCAUUUAAAGUGGUACGCGAGCUGGGUUUAGAACGUCGUGAGACAGUUCGGUCCCUAUCUGCCGUGGGCGCUGGAGAAUUGAGGGGGGCUGCUCCUAGUACGAGAGGACCGGAGUGGACGCAUCACUGGUGUUCGGGUUGUCAUGCCAAUGGCACUGCCCGGUAGCUAAAUGCGGAAGAGAUAAGUGCUGAAAGCAUCUAAGCACGAAACUUGCCCCGAGAUGAGUUCUCCCUGAGACUUUAAGUCUCCUGAAGGAACGUUAAAGACGAUGACGUUGAUAGGUCGGGUGUGUAAGCGCAGCGAUGCGUUGAGCUAACCGAUACUAAUGAACCGUGAGGCUUAACCUU